GGAUGAUGACUAGCACUUUUUAGCAAUAAAGUGUUUUUUAACUAAGGUAUACACAUUGAGUUUUCAAAUUUUAAUUUUUUUUUUUUAAGAUAGAGAGAAUGCACAAAUGGGGGGAAAGGCAGAGGGGGAAGGAGAAGAGAGAGAGCAUCUCAAGCCGACUCCCCACUGAGCUUGAUUCCUGCUAUGAGGUUAAGUCCCACAAAGAUGAGAUUAUGACCUGAGUGAAAUAAAGAGUCUAAAACCAAAUGAGCCACCUAGGUGCCUAUUAGGUUUUGUUUUUUGUUUUUUUGUUUUUAGACAUAAUGCUAUGGCACACUUAAUAGACUAUAGUACAGUGUAAACAUAACUUUUAUAUACACUGGGAAACCUAAAAAUUCAUUUGACUCACUUUAUUAUGAUAUUUGCUUUAUUGUGAUCAUCUGGGAUGGAAUCCAUGAUAUAUCAGAGGAUGCUAAUAAUGAAUCCACUUUAUGUUCUCUCGGUUCCUUUGUCAAUGAGUUAAAGAGAUCUAUUUGCAAGUUCUUUCUAACUCAGUUUUUUUUUUUUUUUUUUUUUUAAAUUUUAAAAAUUGCAUUUUGACUACUUCGGAGGUUUCACCAAGAUGUUCAAACUGUCUUCAUAUGGUGUCAAGAUGGCUCCUGGAAGCUCCACACUUAGCUGGUCAUUAAAGAUUAUGAUGUCACAGAAAGAUAGAAACCAUCUUGUCUUCAACAGCCUCAUCAACUCCUGGGGAGAUUGCUUAGGGCAAAAUUCCUUCAGGAAGAAGCCAAAGGGAAGAAUCAGUGAAACAAUGUGUGAUUAGCCUGUUUGAUUCAAUACUAUUGACUGUGACUAAAUCAAUGUAGAAACUAUGCAGACUGAAUUCACUGGAAUGAUAACAGCAUAGCUAAAGGGUUUGCAACUCAAUUACCCAUCAGGUAGGAGUCUCAGAGACACUAGGUUUCUUUUUUUUUUUUUUUUUUUCUGGUUUCUUUCUGACAUCUUCCUUCUGAGAGAGCCACCAUCAAUAAUUUCAGUAGUUUUAAGUUUGAAUGAAAAAAAUUUUUUAAAUGAAUGAGUCAAGUCUUAUGUGAAGCUCAAUUAUAUCUUUGGAGCAAAAACCUUUAUAACUCAUUCAUUUCUGGACAGUGGUAACAUAUAUUUUAUAAAUGUAUGAAAGAAAGAUAGAAAUCAUAGUUGAAGGGAAGGUUUUCUAUGGAUGUAGAGUUUUA
rnacentral:lncRNA from 12 species